rnacentral:rRNA from 1 species
GAGUUUGAUCCUGGCUCAGGAUGAACGCUUGGUACAGGCAUUACACAUGCGAGUCGAAUGGUUUUUCCAUGGCGAACGGGUGAGUAGGAGCAUUUCAACAUUAUCUUAAAGGUGGGUUAAAAAAGAAUGAUGACAAUGCUCAUUAUUUUUUCUUACAAUACCCUAAGAUGUUUUAUCCCUUUUUGAUAUGGAAAUGAAUGAUUAGGUUGUCGGUGGUUUAAAAGACUACACAAGCCGAUGAUCGUUAACUGGUCUGAGAGGACGACCAGUCACACUGGAACUGAGACAAGGUCCAGGCUUCUUGAGAAGCCAGCAGUGAGGAAUAUUGGACAAUGAGCGAAAGCUUGAUCCAGCUAUGUGCCGUGAGUGAUUGACGACUUAGGUUGUAAAACUCUAAUCUGGACUUAAAUGAUGAUUUGGCUUCAGACACAGCCCCGGCUAAUAUUCGUGCCAGCAGCCGCGGUCAAACGGAGGGGGCGAGCGUUAUCCAAAUUAACUGGGCGUAAAGGGUUCGUAGACGGUUUCGCACUGUGCUAUAAUAAAGACUAGAGAAAACCUUUAGUAAUUAUAGUAAACUAUGAAACUAGAGUAUGAUAGAGGGUAAUGGAAUUUUGCAUGUAGGGGUAGAUCUCAAAGACAUGCAAAGGAACACCAAAGGCGAAGGCAAUUACCUGGAUCAUAACUGACGUUGAGGGACGAAAGCACGGGUAGCGAACAGGAUUUGAUACCCUGGUAGUCCGUGCCGUAAACGAUGAGUGCUUCUGGAUAGAUCAUAUAAGAUUUAUGAAUGAAUGCGAAAGCUUUAAGCACUCCGCCUGAGGACUACGAUCGCAAGAUUAAAACUCAAAGGAACUGACGGGAGUCUUAACAAGUGGUGGAGCAUGUGGUUUAAUUCGAUAAUAAGCGUCAAACCUUACCGUUCCUUGACAUAAAAGCUUAACUUGGUUUUGAACUUUUCUUAUUUAGAAAAAGUCCAAGGUGUACCUUAUUUUAGGCGAACACAACUUUUACAGGUGUUGCAUGGCUGUCGUCAGCUCGUGUUGUGAGAUAUUUGGUUAACUCCUUUAACGGGCGCAACCUUUAUUUGUUGUUUGGCUUUUGCCCUACAAAAACUGUUUCUAUUCCCUGAGUGUACUCGGAGGGGUGGAAAAGGAAGGAGAAGAUGACGUCUAGUCUUUAUGACCCUUAUGGAACGGGCUACACACAUGCUACAAUGGGAAGAACAGCGGGUUAUGAUGAAAACAGAAUCAAUCCUUAACACUUUCCUUAAUUCAGAUUGGAAGCUGCAAUUCGCUUCCAUGAAGCCGGAAUCACUAGUAAUCGCGGAUCAGAAUGCCGCGGUGAAUAUGUACUUAGACUUUGUACACAC